rnacentral:rRNA from 1 species
UGGCGGCGUGCUUACACAUGCAAGUCGAACGAUGAAACCUAGCUUGCUAGGUGGAUUAGUGGCGCACGGGUGAGUAAUAUAUAGAUAAUCUGCCUCUUAGUCUGGGAUAGCCAUUGGAAACGAUGAUUAAUACUAGAUACUCCUUCUCUUUAUAAUAAGAGUUGGGAAAGGAACAUCUUUAUGGUGUUUCGCUAAGAGAUGAGUCUAUAUCCCAUCAGGUAGUUGGUAGUGUAAGAGACUACCAAGCCUAUGACGGGUAGCGGGUUUGAGAGGAUGAUCCGCCACACUGGUACUGAGACACGGACCAGACUCCUACGGGAGGCAGCAGUGAGGAAUAUUGCACAAUGGAGGAAACUCUGAUGCAGCAACGCCGCGUGGAGGAUGACGCAUUUCGGUGUGUAAACUCCUUUUAUAUGUCAAGAAAAUGACGGUAGCAUAUGAAUAAGCACCGGCUAACUCCGUGCCAGCAGCCGCGGUAAUACGGAGGGUGCAAGCGUUAUUCGGAAUCACUGGGCGUAAAGGACACGUAGGCGGGAAGCCAAGUCUGAUGUGAAAUCCUACAGCUUAACUGUAGAACUGCAUUGGAAACUGGUUACCUAGAGUAUGGGAGGGGGGAGAUGGAAUUAGUGGUGUAGGGGUAAAAUCCGUAGAUAUCACUAGGAAUACCUAAAGCGAAGGCGAUCUCCUGGAACAUUACUGACGCUAAGGUGUGAAAGCGUGGGGAGCAAACGGGAUUAGAUACCCCGGUAGUCCACGCCCUAAACGAUGUUCACUAGUCGUCGGGAUGCUAGUCAUCUCGGUGAUGCACUUAACAGAUUAAGUGAACCGCCUGGGGAGUACGGU